UACGUAGGGACCAAGCGUUGUUCGGAUUUACUGGGCGUAAAGGGCGCGUAGGCGGUGCGGUAAGUCACUUGUGAAAUCUCUGAGCUUAACUCAGAACGGCCAAGUGAUACUGCAGUACUAGAGUGCGGAAGGGGCAAUCGGAAUUCUUGGUGUAGCGGUGAAAUGCGUAGAUAUCGUAAGGAAGACCAGUGGCGAAGGCGGGUCUCUGGACAGUUCCUGAC
rnacentral:rRNA from 1 species